rnacentral:rRNA from 1 species
AACGAACGCUGGCGGCAUGCCUAACACAUGCAAGUCGAACGAGACCUUCGGGUCUAGUGGCGCGCGGGUGCGUACCGCGUGGGAACCUGCCCUUAGGUUCGGAAUAACUCCCCGAGAGGGGUGCUAAUACCGGAUAAUGUCUUCGGACCAAAGAUUUAUCGCCUUUGGAUGGGCCCGCGUUGGAUUAGCUAGUUGGUAGGGUAAAAGCCUACCAAGGCGACGAUCCAUAGCUGGUCUGAGAGGAUGAUCAGCCACACUGGGACUGAGACACGGCCCAGACUCCUACGGGAGGCAGCAGUGGGGAAUAUUGGACAAUGGGCGAAAGCCUGAUCCAGCAAUGCCGCGUGAGUGAUGAAGGCCUUAGGGUUGUAAAGCUCUUUUACCCGGGAUGAUAAUGACAGUACCGGGAGAAUAAGCUCCGGCUAACUCCGUG